GACGAACGCUGGCGGCGUGCUUAACACAUGCAAGUCGAACGGGGUCCUGGUUGGUGGCAACACCUUCCAGUACCUAGUGGCGAACGGGUGAGGAACACGUGAGCAACCCACCCCGGACUCUGGGAUAACAACGGGAAACCGCUGCUAAUACCGGAUACCUUCCUCUGGUCGCAUGGCCGGGCGAAGAAAGGGUUACUGGUUCGGGACGGGCUCGCGGCCUAUCAGCUAGUUGGUGGGGUAACGGCCUACCAAGGCGUCGACGGGUAGCUGGUCUGAGAGGAUGAUCAGCCACACUGGGACUGAGACACGGCCCAGACUCCUACGGGUGGCAG
rnacentral:rRNA from 1 species